ensembl:lncRNA
AAGGGGAGUUAGCUCCCUAGCAUUCUCCAGCCCCUGAUGACCUCCCAGGAAGCCAGACUCCAUGCCUUUGAGUGACAAGAAGCAGCACAGAGCCGCCAACAGGAGUCUGGAGCUGUAAUUUGCACUGACAUUCACUGGUGUUAUCCACUUAGUGCCUGGCAAGUUGAAGGGUGCUUACAGCGGUGAAGUGUGGUCCAAAGCCUCCGUGUGCUUGAACUCACUGGAUCCUCUUGACAACCCCACAUGACAGGUUACGGCAGCAUCACCAAAGCUGUUUAAAAUGUAACAGACCAAUAAACUCUCAGGGAGCUGGAGGGUGCCUACCCCUGCCACGGUCCCUGCAGUGCAGUCAGGAGAGCUGUUAAAUGCCAG